GGGGGGGGGGGGGGGGGGCCCCCCCCGCGCCUUUCAGCCAAUAGGAAACCGCGGCGGCAACAGGUGGCGGGUGAGGCCGCGGCCGCCAUGUUGGAUGAGGGCAGCGCCGUGAGGGAGAGGACAAGCUGACCCACCCUCGGUGUUCUGCAAAUGUGCUUGGCUGGAAGGGACGGCGACAGCUGCUUGUGGCUGGGAGAGGAAAAGCUGAAUCGCUGAGUGCUGCCUGGAGCAGAGCCAGGGAAAUGUUCCCGACACGGACACCACCAUCUAGCGGCACCGUGAAACCUCCAGGGGCUCCCCGAGGGAGCCUUUCGGUGCGGGGGGGGUCUGCCUCAAAAAAAUCCCUGAUUUGCAAGGGAAAUGUAGCUGGCCAGGGUAAAAAAUAAAAA
rnacentral:lncRNA from 12 species